GCCGCCAGAUCCCUCCUCCCAUCGCAUGCCCUCCUCGCGAUCCUCCCAACGUCCUCGCGCCGCCAUCCUCUUCUUCUCUGCGACUCCUCUGUGACCCACGCCCUGACCGACGCUGGCGAGUCCUCGGCACUCCGCGCGCGCCUCGCAUCCAACGCCGGGGAGGAUCGCGUGAUUCCGCCCGCGUCGUCGCCUCCGACGCUGGCCUCUCCUUCACCACCGCCCCUGCCAGCAAGGUCCCCCUCGUCAUGGCCUUCCUCGCCUGGGUGUACGUCGCCAGCCGGCCAUAUGGCAGGACACGCAGACCCGGGCGAUCCUCUCCGGCCUCCUUGAGAAGAGCACCGGCAAUCUCCCCAAAGAGAUCUCAGUGGACGACAAGCUGAGGGACCUCGGAUGCACGUAAUUUUUCGGUUCUCCACUGAAGUAUUGAAGGCAUUAUGACAACAUGUGUACCAACUUGUUGAUUAAAAAUGAUUGCCUUUCAAAGUUUCAAUGAACUUCUCACUGGACAUUUUGACGCAUUCGCUUGAAUCUGCAUGUUGCAUCAUUUGUGCACAAUGAAAACUGUAUGAACCUGCAUUGGAUGGUGUAUUUGUAGGAAGGUUAUCCUUUCUUCAAGGACUGGAAGUUUCCUGGUAAGUGUUCCUUUUCUGAAAAACUCUGUGUUUGUCCACUGUAAUAUUUUGUUUACAUCAGGUUUCUCUUUCCUUUUGUGGGCGUAAUGUCGAGACAAUAAUAUUCAGAAAGUUGUUGUUUCAGGGAAACUGCUAACUCCAUAUGCCAGACCCAUAUCAUUGUUCAGCAUGCAUAGUGUUCCUAUGUCAUUCCUAUGAUGUAUUUGUUUCCUUUUAUAUCAUAAUAGUCUUCAUUUUGGCCAUGUACCUUCAAACUGAACCAAAAAUGGUUUGUCUGAUGACAUGUUUGAGGAGAUUCUUGAUAUGAAACAGUAGAUAUGAGGGUGACCGUUUUUUUGCAAGUUUUGCCUGUGGAAUCUUUUUGCAGUUGAUAAGAAAUGGGCUGGACUUACUUCCGUCUGCAAUAUUUUUGGUAAAGUGAUUCAAGGUAUGUUCGAUUGCUUACUUAGGAUGGUUACUGAACCUCUUUGGGAACCAAGAAAGACAUUCUGUAUGUACAAAUAACAUAGGCCUAAAGUUCUUUUUACAUUGAAAAUCUAUAUAUGAAAUUUUCUGUAACAAUCAAAAAUUCAUUCAUUGACUUUGUGAGAUGUCACACAACACCAUGCUCCAAAUUGUUGUCUAUUUGAUCCUUGUGGCAGAAUCAUAGACUCGUGCAUAAUUGCAUAUAUACUGUGACUGGGCACCAGUAUAUUUGCAACAUUCUAAAAGGUAGUUUGUUAUGAUUUUUUACCAAAACUUUUCUUCUAUAGUUUAUAUGCAUGCAGAGGAUCUUCAAAUGGUUUCAUCAUUUAUCUAGGCUAUGCAAGGUUGCAUAAUCAUGGAUGGUCAUUGUUAGAUUGGCUUGAUUCUAGAUUUGGGGCACGGAAUGAUGGUCAUGGGAAUACCCAAAUGUAUAUAUGUAUAUAAUUACCUACACCUACAUGUUUAUUUCCCUGUUGUGGUUAGUCUUUGGAUUUCUAGACACUCUUAUUCUUUCUCCUGG